rnacentral:rRNA from 1 species
AACGAACGCUGGCGGCAGGCUUAACACAUGCAAGUCGAACGCCCCGCAAGGGGAGUGGCAGACGGGUGAGUAACGCGUGGGAACGUGCCCUUCGCUUCGGAAUAGCCCCGGGAAACUGGGGAGUAAUACCGGAUACGCCGUAUUGGGAAAGAUUUAUCGGCGAAGGAUCGGCCCGCGUUAGAUUAGCUAGUUGGCGGUGUAAUGGGACCACCAAGGCUACGAUCUAUAGCUGGUCUGAGAGGAUGAUCAGCCACACUGGGACUGAGACACGGCCCAGACUCCUACGGGAGGCAGCAGUGGGGAAUCUUGGACAAUGGGCGCAAGCCUGAUCCAGCCAUGCCGCGUGAGUGAAGAAGGCCUUAGGGUUGUAAAGCUCUUUCGGACAGAAAGAAAUCGCAUCGGCUAAUACUCGAUGUGGAUGACGGUACUGUCAUAAGAAGCACCGGCUAACUACGUGCCAGCAGCCGCGGUAAU